AAGGCUUUAAGUUAAAGUUAAACUAAUAUCCUUCAAAGCUAUAAAUAAAGAGGUUCUUUAAGCCUUA
rnacentral:tRNA from 1 species